CACAGACAUCUGAGGGCAUGGCCGUCCAAGAAGAAAAUGUAGCCAUUGAUGCCAUCUAUCGACCACAGGUUAAAGAUUGGCGAUCCGUUGGAUACCGACCGAGUUAUAGGCAAAAGUUGGUGCAAAAAUGAGAAAAAUUUUACAUUUUCUCAAACAGGGUAAGGAACUUGGUUCCUCGAAUAACUUCUGGCACAGACAUCUGAGGGCAUGGUCGUCCAAGAAGAAAAUGUAGCCAUUGAUGCCAUCUAUCGACCACAGGUUAAAGAUUGGCGAUCCGUUGGAUACCGACCGAGUUAUAGGCAAAAUUUGGUGCAAAAAUGACCCUUAGUAAAUUUUCAUUUUUUUUAAUUUUUUGAUUUUUUCAUUAUUUUUCACUCUUUUUUUAUUUCAAUCAUUAUUUGAGUGAAAAGAAACUCAUUGCAACCAAUUGGGAUUAAAAUAAAACAAUUUUAUUUUUUUGCAAAAUUUCUCAAAAAAACCGUAAGGGGUAAGCCUUAUGAAAUUUUCGAGUUGAAAUUUUUUUGAAAUUUUUUUUUCGAUUUUUUAUUCUUUUUUUAGUUUAAAGCAGUAUUUGAGUGAAAAGAAACAUAUUGCAACAAAUUCCCAUUAAAAUAUAUCACAUUUUUCAAUUUUGCUAAAUUGUUCAAAAACAGGGUAAGGAACUUGGUUCCCUGAAUAACUUCUGGCACAGACAUCUGAGGGCAUGGCCGUCCAAGAAGAAAAUGUAGCCAUUGAUGCCAUCUAUCGACCACAGGUUAAAGAUUGGCGAUCCGUUGGAUACCGACCGAGUUAUAGGCAAAAGUUGGUGCAAAAAUGAGAAAAAUUUUACAUUUUCUCAAACAGGGUAAGGAACUUGGUUCCUCGAAUAACUUCUGGCACAGACAUCUGAGGGCAUGGUCGUCCAAGAAGAAAAUGUAGCCAUUGAUGCCAUCUAUCGACCACAGGUUAAAGAUUGGCGAUCCGUUGGAUACCGACCGAGUUAUAGGCAAAAUUUGGUGCAAAAAUGACCCUUAGUAAAUUUUCAUUUUUUUGAAUUUUUUGAUUUUUUCAUUAUUUUUCACUCUUUUUUUAUUUCAAUCAUUAUUUGAGUGAAAAGAAACUCAUUGCAACCAAUUGGGAUUAAAAUAAAACAAUUUUAUUUUUUUGCAAAAUUUCUCAAAAAAACCGUAAGGGGUAAGCCUUAUGAAAUUUUCGAGUUGAAAUUUUUUUGAAAUUUUUUUUUCGAUUUUUUAUUCUUUUUUUAGUUUAAAGCAUUAUUUGAGUGAAACGAAACAUAUUGCAACAAAUUCCCAUUAAAAUAUAUCACAUUUUUCAAUUUUGCUAAAUUGUUCAAAAACAGGGUAAGGAACUUGGUUCCCUGAAUAACUUCUGGCACAGACAUCUGAGGGCAUGGCCGUCCAAG